rnacentral:rRNA from 1 species
GAUGAACGCUAGCGGCAGGCCUAACACAUGCAAGCCGAGGGGUAGCAGGAUUAAGCUUGCUUAAUUGCUGACGACCGGCGCACGGGUGCGUAACGCGUAUGCAACCUACCUUAUACUGGGGUAUAGCCCGGAGAAAUUCGGAUUAAUCCCCCAUAGUACUAAUGAAUCGCAUGGUUUAUUAGUUAAAGCAUUGCGGUAUAAGAUGGGCAUGCGUCCUAUUAGCUAGAUGGUGAGGUAACGGCUCACCAUGGCUACGAUACGUAGGGGGCCUGAGAGGGUGGUGCGCCACACUGGUGCUGCGACAAGGCCCAGACUCCUAGGGGAGGCAGCAGUGAGGAAUAUUGGUCAAUGGGCGGAAGCUUGAACCAGCCAUGGCGCGUGCAGGAAGAAUGCCCUAUGGGUUGUAAACUGCUUUUAUUAGGGAAGAAACCUCUUUCCGUGUAGGGAGCUGAAGGUACCAAAGAAAUAAGCACCGGCUAACUCCGUGCCAGCAGCCGCCGUAA